rnacentral:lncRNA from 1 species
AAAGUUCCGGAAUCGGCGUGGGCAUCCCUGAGAAGUCAGAGUCACAUCCCCAAGUGGUGGACGCAGAAACCAAGGCAGCGGAGGCCAGAGGGCGGUGCGCAGCAUCACGGGUGCUGAGACGGGUCCUGGCCACCUGAUCCUCCUUGAGAAGCUUCAUCCCCUCCCCCACUGAUGUGCC